rnacentral:lncRNA from 1 species
GUCUUCAUUUUUCGGUAUUCGGCUAUCCUGUUCUACUGCUUGGUCAUAAAGAGUAUCAUUUUUUUAGAUAGCAGUAAAAAAUCAUGUCAAUCUUGUUUUCCCUCCAUAGAUAUUAAUUUUAACACUGCAUACAUACUACCAUCAUGUUUGCAGACUGAUACCGAGUAUUUCUGUUGACUGAAGUUUUCAUAUACAUUUUCUUGUGACCAUGAGGUCACGGGUUUAAGUCCUGGAAACAGCCUCUUGCGGAAACGUAGGAAAAGGCUGCGUACAAUAGACCCAAAGUGAUCGGACCCUCCCCGGACCCUGCACAAGCGGGAGCUACAUGCACCGGGCUACCCUUUUUUAAUGAAUAUAGUUUGCCUUGAUGCAUAUACACGUUUUAGGACUUGGUUGCCUUGUUGAUGUUAUGAUUAUUUUUAUCUAUGCUACUGGCUAAGUAUGGUUGUCUCAAAAAGUUGUCUUUCUGCAGGAAUUUCAAAAAGGUGAACUCUCUUCCUACUCAUGUGGAUAAGAGGGCCAUCAAAAUCAUGAUGUACGUAUCUGUGUCCGGUGAAUUUGAAACUGUGAUUCUUACCAGCAGCACCACCCGGACCUUUUAUAUCCGUCCAGGUUCAGAACUGGACAUGAGGUUCAUCCAAACGUCUGGGAACCACAGGAGGUUGAUCAAAAUGGUUAUCUGGUUUCUGCAAAAAAGUUUAACUUGUGGUGAGAAUACAAACGCUGAAAUGCAAAGUCUCGUUUGUCAUUAAGACGGUUAUCCAGAUUCCAGAGGCAAUAUUACUGCAUGAUGAUUUGAUUUGUUUCCCAAUCUUCAGGCAUGGAGUUAGCGCACACAUGUUGGAAACUACACUAAUCUCGUUGUGUGUAAUUGGUGCCUGAACUCUUCUCCUUCGAAGCGCUCCUAGCUUGUUUCCUUCAAUUCAAAAUAGUAUCAUUCACGGGGAUCAAGACUACAGAGAUAUAGUCUAAUUAGCAUGCAACCCUAGGAUCAGUUUGUGGCUCUUGAAGUGUGUUGUGCUGGAUUUAUUUAAGGAAAUAGUCGGUCCGUGCUAAUCUGAAGUUGGACAGUCAAAUUAUGGCACUCAAACAUCAUGUAUUCGAUAUGUGCCACCAGCCCACGAGCGGUUAUGAAAAAUUAGCUGCAUGGCCUUGCGCGCCGUCUCUGCUUGUUACUGUUUUUCUUUUAAAACAAGGCAAAAGCUUUGCCUUUUCAUUAAACAAGCAAGGAGAAAAGCAUAUACAAGGCCGAAGCCUGAAGCUUAAACGGAUUACUCUGUUGGGACGAUGGCUCCUAAAUGUUUCGCCCCGGCGAUACACGAGAACCUCUCAUCUCUCAUGAUAUUGUUAAAAACAAUCGACUGCAAAGAG